AGUUCAUAUUCUAGCAUGACACUUGCCUUUUUUGGUUCAGUCCUGAUUUUCCAAUUAUCUCUCUCUAUCCCAUUCCCAAGAAUUGUGUUCCAGUUUUGCCACAUUCUGGAGCUGUCAUCACUUACUGUGUUAUUUCAUACUUCAUCCUUUCGCUCAUUCUGCCUUUUCUAGAAUGUCCUUCGCACACUUCUUGUGCACCUUGUCUGUCUUUCAAUAUACAGCCCUGUCUGCAGCAUUUCCUGAGCUUCCCAUAUGCAUCUCUUUUCUCCUUUGUGCCUUCACUGUGCUUUAUUCACUUCACCUGUAGAACUAGUAAAUGAUACUCUUCUGUUCUUAAUUGUCGUUGUCCGUCUCUAGCCUGCUAGCAUACAGGGCAGUCUCUGUCGUUUGUAUUUCCAGCUUCUCCCAGGAGAGUGCCUAUGACUUGACAGGAAGGAGAGGUGCAGCCGGCAAUUGGAAAACAGGACGAUGGUAUUAGUAUUACUGAAAGUGCUCCACAAGAGCAAACAGUUAAUGACAAUCUGACUUCUGCUGAUAGAGCAUACAAAAGUAAUAGUAGUGUUACGAUGUCAGCAUUAGGAUUAGGAGAAGGGAAGA